rnacentral:rRNA from 1 species
GAUGAACGCUGGCGGCGUGCCUAAUACAUGCAAGUCGAGCGAAUGGAUUAAGAGCUUGCUCUUAUGAAGUUAGCGGCGGACGGGUGAGUAACACGUGGGUAACCUGCCCAUAAGACUGGGAUAACUCCGGGAAACCGGGGCUAAUACCGGAUAACAUUUUGAACCGCAUGGUUCGAAAUUGAAAGGCGGCUUCGGCUGUCACUUAUUGAUGGACCCGCGUCGCAUUAGCUAGUUGGUGAGGUAACGGCUCACCAACGCAACGAUGCGUAGCCGAUCUGGGAGCGUGAUCAGCCACACAGCGAGUGAAACACGGCGCAGGCUCCUGCGAGUGUCAGCAGUGGGGUAUCUUCCGCGAUGGACGAAAGUCUGACGGAGCAACGCUGCGUGUGUGAUGAAGGCUUACGGGUCGUAAAUAUCUGUUGUUAGGGUAGAACAAGUGCUAGUUGAAUAAGCUGACACCUUGACGGUACCUAACCAGAAAGCCACGGCUAAAUACGUGCCAGCCGCCGCAGUAA